AUGAUCUUCUUCUUUUUUGGCUCAUGUGGUUUCUGUCGAAUCAAGAUUUGGAGUUUGUAGUUGCAGCAAAGGAUGCAUACGUAACUGCUCCGCUUUCAGUAGAUUUUAGAGUCCAAGAUAACAAAUAGCAUGGCUGUAAUUUCAUUUUUCAGUUUUUGGUACUCCUAACUUAAGGUACGCGUAGACAACACAAGCAUUUGAUUUUUGACAGAAGCGCACGAAGAUUUAUGAACAGCAAUGCAACAAAAGGAAACAAGCGAAACUUGAUCGUGGGUAUUUUACUGCAAUUUUUUUGAGCUGAAUCUGCAGUUUUUUUACAACCCUUCUGAUUACCUGAACUUUCCACUAGAAAUGCAGAUUUUUUUCCUCCCUUUCUUUUCCUUUUGACUAGUAAUAUCCUGCAAUAUACCAAUAAUAGAACAGCAUCAUACAAUUUGAUCUAUGGAAAAUCGAUAAAUAUAUAUAGGAUCUAUCGUAGGUUCACAGAUAUAGGUGAUAGCGACUAGGAAAUUCA
rnacentral:lncRNA from 1 species